rnacentral:rRNA from 1 species
UACGGAGGGGGCAAGCGUUGUUCGGAAUUACUGGGCGUAAAGGGCGCGCAGGCGGCUGCUCAAGUCAGGCGUGAAAGGCCUGGGCUCAACCCGGGAACUGCAUUUGUGACUGCAUAGCUAGAGUACGGUAGAGGGGGAUGGAAUUCCGCGUGUAGCAGUGAAAUGCGUAGAUAUGCGGAGGAACACCGAUGGCGAAGGCAAUCCCCUGGACCUGUACUGACGCUCAUGCACGAAAGCGUGGGGAGCAAACAGG